GGGGGCGCGGCGUCGCGGAGCUCGGGCCGGUGGAAGGUUUACCUGCUAGGCUCGUCCCACCUGUGUGGAGCUCCCAUCGCCCUCCAGCGUUGCGCAGCCUGAAGGGACAGGACGGACAAGCGGGUGCCUCCUUCUAAUUCAUCUUCACCAUUGUGGUUGUCAAUAUGGCAUGCAGAAUUAUCCCUCUUUCCAGGUUUUCCCCAAGGACCCUGGACAAUGCUGGUUUUUCCUAUGUGCACCACCAAAGGGCCUAUCCAGCUUCUGGAGUCUACCUGGAUUCCUGGGCUCAUGGCCCCUUCCUCCAUCUUCAAACCAGCAAUGGAAAUGGAAAUGAAAGCAAAAUGGAAGGACGUGAGGUCCUUAUCCUUGGAGAUCCUAUGGAGUCUCCACAGACAUUCCUUGAAGAAAUCAGAUGGAGCUGAGCCUGACACUCUAACCGGUUCUCUGGGUGUACUGCAAAGGUCUAAUAAAAGGCACCUUUGCCCGGUUGCUUCAAUUCUAGGAAGCUGUUCAAUGUUUGACUAUAUUUCUCCAUACUCAUUUGAAAACAGUUCAUCAGGUUAGUUCAGUUGAAUUAUUGCUCCUUGGGAGUUUUCCAAACCCUGGAUUUCCUUCGGAGAGAGCUAGAUUCUAUUCCAUUCUUGGAAUUCAGCUCCUUGCCCUUCUCUGUGACCCCGGAUCGCGAAUGCAGUAAAAAUAAAAAUAUCCUGCUGCCUCCUGCACUAAGAAA
rnacentral:lncRNA from 1 species